AAGGCAUCAUGCGUUGGAGAUCUUUCAGAUAGGUUCUCUUUGUUGCCUCUCAUAACAAGGUCACUUUUUUAUGGCACCUCAGCAGACAAGAAAAGAGAAAGGAAGCGAGACUCUGAGAGAGAUAAGCAGAUGUAAGAAGACCAUGUGUGGCUUCAGGGAAGCCUUUAGGGAUCAGAAAUGGAAAGGAAACCACUCAACAAAAGGGUAAUCUCAGGACGCUUGGAGGAGCCCACACAGGAGAGAAGAGAAAGAGAGGACGGAAGGACAGAAGAGUGUUUUGCAGUGCUGCCGGCAAUGACUCAUAGCUCCAUCAGGAUGAUUCCAGCACAGCAGUGUGUCACUGCAAGACAAUCUGUGCAGCUGGAAAUCAGCCUCCAGUGUUCAGAACUUGACACACUUCAUUCACCCUGUGUUCUAAUCAGCGCCGUGACGUCUGCAGCAAAAGUUUCCAAUGUUAAGUAAUUCGUCUGUCUG
ensembl:lncRNA